rnacentral:rRNA from 1 species
UACGUAGGGGGCAAGCGUUAUCCGGAUUUACUGGGUGUAAAGGGAGCGUAGGUGGCGUGCCAAGUCAGAAGUGAAAACCCAGGGCUCAACUUUGGGACUGCUUUUGAAACUGAGUAGCUAGAGUGCAGGAGAGGUAAGCGGAAUUCCUAGUGUAGCGGUGAAAUGCGUAGAUAUUAGGAGGAACACCAGUGGCGAAGGCGACUUUCUGGACUGUCCCUGACGCUGAGGCGCGAAAGCGUGGGGAGCAAACAGG